CUUUUCAUCUGCACUGCUGAACUGGUGCAAUAAGUUAAAGUGCGAUAAUAUAUGUUUGUAUGACAAUAUAUAUGUUUUUUCACUUUAACUUAUAGCACCAGUUCAGCAGUGCAGCUGAAAAGAACAGACCAAGUAAUGCCUCGGUGUACACUCGUGGUCUAAAAGUGAGUUUAGGAGCAGUAAAUAGAAAUAUUGGCUGUGUCAACAAUUAUAUGUGACAGUUAAGCAAAAUAUGUCAAAAUAUGGCGAGAUCAUAAAUCAAACCCACACAGCAAGAAUGUCCCAAAUACAUCAUACGGAUAUCUUGAAGAUAUCACCUUGUAUUCUUAAGCGGGAAGCACACUCUUGUAUAAAGGCAUAAUGCACAAAAUAUAAGAAAAUUGAUCAAUCAGAAUUCUCAU